GCCUAGUUAGCUUAGUUGGUGAUGCGUCUGCCUUAUAAGCGCUAGGCCGCGGGUUCGAUUCCCGCCCGGGGCG
rnacentral:tRNA from 1 species